UACGUAGGGGGCAAGCGUUGUCCGGAAUUACUGGGUGUAAAGGGAGUGUAGGCGGGUAUUUAAGUCAGAUGUGAAAACCACGGGCUCAACUUGUGGACUGCAUUUGAAACUGGAUAUCUUGAGUGCAGGAGAGGAAAGUGGAAUUCCUAGUGUAGCGGUGAAAUGCGUAGAUAUUAGGAGGAACACCAGUGGCGAAGGCGGCUUUCUGGACUGUAACUGACGCUGAGGCUCGAAAGUGUGGGGAG
rnacentral:rRNA from 1 species